rnacentral:rRNA from 1 species
UUCCGGUUGAUCCCGCCGGAGGCCAUUGCUAUCGGGGUCCGAUUUAGCCAUGCUAGUCGUACGGGUUCAGACCCGUGGCGAAUAGCUCAGUAACACGUGGCCAAACUGCCCUAUGGACCCGGACAACCUCGGGAAACUGAGGCUAAUCCGGGAUACGGCUCCCACGCUUGAAUGCGGGGUGUCGGAAACGCUCCGGCGCCAUAGGAUGUGGCUGCGGCCGAUUAGGUAGACGGUGGGGUAACGGCCCACCGUGCCGAUAAUCGGUACGGGUUGUGGAAGCAAGAGCCCGGAGAUGGGAUCUGAGACAAGAUCCCAGGCCCUACGGGGCGCGGCAGGCGCGAAACCUUUACACUGCACGACAGUGCAAUAGGGGGACCCCGAGUGCGAGGGCAUACAGUCCUCGCUUUUCUGCACCGUAAGGUGGUGCAGGAAUAAGUGCUGGGCAAGACCGGUGCCAGCCGCCGCGGUAAUACCGGCAGCACAAGUGAUGGCCGCUAUUAUUGGGCCUAAAGCGUCCGUAGCCGGCCGAACAAGUCCGUCGGGAAAUCCAUCCGCCUAACGGAUGGGCGUCCGGCGGAAACUGUUCGGCUUGGGACAGGAAGACUCGAGGGGUACGUCCGGGGUAGGAGUGAAAUCCCGUAAUCCUGGACAGACCGCCGAUGGCGAAAGCACCUCGAGAAGACUGAUCCGACGGUGAGGGACGAAAGCUGGGGUCUCGAACCGGAUUAGAUACCCGGGUAGUCCCAGCCGUAAACGAUGUUCGCUAGGUGUGGCGCAGGCUACGGGCCUGCGCUGUGCCGUAGGGAAGCCGUGAAGCGAACCGCCUGGGAAGUACGUCCGCAAGGAUGAAACUUAAAGGAAUUGGCGGGGGAGCACUACAACCGGAGGAGCCUGCGGUUUAAUUGGAGUCAACGCCGGG